rnacentral:rRNA from 1 species
CGUAGGUGGUGUCGUAAGUUUGCGGUGAAAGCCCGGGGCUCAACCCCGGGUCUGCCGCGGAUACUGCGAGACUUGAGUGCUGUAGAGGCAGGUAGAAUAUCGGGUGUAGCGGUGGAAUGCGUAGAGAUCCGAUAGAAGACCGGUGGCGAAGGCGGCCUGCUGGGCAGUAACUGACACUGAGGCGCGACAGCGUGGGGAGCAAACA